rnacentral:rRNA from 1 species
GAGUUUGAUCCUGGCUCAGGAUAAACGCUGGCGGCGUGCCUAACCCAUGCAAGUCGAACGGUCCCGCAAGGGAUAGUGGCGGACGGGUGAGUAACACGUAGAAAUCUGCCUCGCCGGAGGGAAUAACUCCUCGAAAGAAGAGCUAAUACCCAGAAGGAUCCGCAAGGAUCAGAGUCCGCAAGGGCCUGGCGAGAGGAGUCUGCGGCCCAUCAGCUUGUUGGUGGGGUAAUGGCCUACCAAGGCUACGACGGGUAGGGGGUCUGAGAGGAUGUCCCCCCACACUGGAACUGAAACACGGUCCAGACACCUACGGGUGGCAGCAGGGAGGAAUAUUGGACAAUGGGGGAAACCCUGAUCCAGCAACGCCGCGUGAGGGAUGA